rnacentral:snoRNA from 1 species
AUGAUGAGAGUCAGGAAAUAGGAAGUGCCGUCUGAUGCGAUAACUGACGAUGUUUCCUGC